UACAGAGGUCUCAAGCGUUGUUCGGAUUCAUUGGGCGUAAAGGGUGCGUAGGUGGCGCCGUAAGUGGGGUGUGAAAUCUCGGGGCUUAACUCCGAAACUGCAUUCCAUACUGCGGUGCUUGAGGACUGGAGAGGAGACUGGAAUUUACGGUGUAGCAGUGAAAUGCGUAGAGAUCGUAAGGAAGACCAGUGGCGAAGGCGGGUCUCUGGACAGUUCCUGACACUGAGGCACGAAGGCCAGGGGAGCAAACGGG
rnacentral:rRNA from 1 species